CAAGUGCAUUGUAUGAUACAUUGCCACAUAUCUGGUGGUGUCACUGAGAGGGAAACCGCCCUGAUCUCCGUGGGCAGAGCUGGGUGGCAGCAAGCCUGCUGUCCUCUCGUGAGGCCGGGUAGCUGUCAGCGGCCCUGGAUCCCCUCACCCGUAGGUUAGGUGGUGGGAUAGUUAGUGCUGCCUCAUGAACUGCCCAGAAACUAUGACAGCAAACAUUGGUUGCCUCGCUGUGGCUGUGGCUAGGGCUGGCCUGACUCGGACGUUCAGGCUGGCGUUCUCGUGGGGCUGGGGCAUCUGAAGGCUUGGCCAGGGCAGGAAGAGCUGCUUCCGAGAUGGUGCACUCUGGCUGCUGGCAGGAGGCCGAGGGUCCUCCAGGGUGGCAGCUGGCUUCCCCCAGUGAGUGAAAGGCAGCCGGGGCAGGAGUGUGAUCAGUCCUGCUUGGUUCUAGGGUCACACUGACCAGCCCUGGUGCGCAUGGUGUGGGAGGUGGACGCGGGGAGGGGCAGGAGCUGCCCAGGCGGCGGUGCUUGUGGCAGCACUAGCAGAGUGGGGUGUGCUGUCUUUAUGCUUGGUCCCUAAUCCACCUCCUGCAGGGGUGCAGCUCUUACGAGGAUGAUCCCCUUGAACGGGUGGCUGCUCUGGCUGCACAAGACUGAGCAGCCGCUCGAGUUUCCCCCUCCCCUCUGUGGUGCACUUGAGUCUCCUGUGGCUUAUGCACAAGGUGACGCGUGGGCCUGGGGUGACGAUGGAAUUGCGGGAGUAAGUGGGCUUGAUCACGAGGGAGGACGACGAGGGGCUGGUGGACACAUCCCACCUGCUUUGAGCCCAGCAUCUGGCUCGGUGUUGGGAGGGCUAGAGUCGGGGAUGCAGGCUGGGCUCGGGCUGGGGCUGUCAGCCCUCCAGGUUGGUAGCUAGGAGCUUGUUUCAGACACAAGGUUGCUACAAGGGGUUAUGUUUUCAUAGCAUUGAGGAUUUGUUUUCAGUCUUUGAACCUGCACGAGGCCGUGUCUGUUUGUUUUUGACAGGAAACUGGGUGGCCAGUAGAAUGUUCAGAAGGGGAGCUGGGCUUGGCACGUGUGGGGAGAAGACGGAGGUGGCUCCAGCAGCCGUGUCAUCGCAUUCCAGAAACCUCCGUGCUUUGCUGUCCUGAGGUCUCCAAGCUGAGGAAGAAGCCUUGACCGUUGACCAGGUGGGGGGUGUUAUCCAGCCCCAGAGGCGCGGCCUAGUGGGUCAUCUCAGAGAUUUUCUGUCUCUGUGCAGGUGGGCGUCCUCAGUCCUCCAGGAGAGCACAUCGAGGGCAGAGAGCCAGGAGGGGAGGGAGGUUCCCCCGGCUCACGACACAGCAGAGAAGAUGUGACUUAUCACGCUGCUGUCUCAGCACUUUGCUGCCAGGGCGCGUCUAAGAGAGCUGGGGAAAUCACAGCUGUGAAGCGUCCUCUGAUGGGAAGGACUCGUCCGAUUAGCUGGGCCUGGACAUGAGAAAGCUGUGUGUUCUGGGUGGCGCCUCACCCCCCCCCCCCCCCCCCCCCCCCGGGGGGCGGGGGCUCAGGCUCCUGGGCUUCUGCUGGGGAGGGGCCGGACAAAGAAAAUGAGAUGCUGGGCUCUUCCUCAGAUCAUGCAUUUUACCUCUAGUGGUUCAUUAAAAUCCGUUUAAAAAAGUAA